rnacentral:tRNA from 1 species
GCCUUCGUGGCCUAACGGAUAAGGCGUCGGCCUCCUAAGCGAAGAUUUCGGGUUCGAAUCCCGUCGGAGGUA